AUUGAACGCUGGCGGCAGGCCUAACACAUGCAAGUCGAACGAGUGGCGGACGGGUGAGUAAUGUCUGGGAAACUGCCCGAUGGAGGGGGAUAACUACGGGAAACGGUAGCUAAUACCGCAUACCAUCGGAUGUGCCCAGAGGGGAGUAGCUAGUAGGUGGGGUAACGGCGCACCAAGGCGACGAUCCCUAGCUGGUCUGAGAGGAUGAUCAGCCACACUGGAACUGAGACACGGUCCAGACUCCUACGGGAGGCAGCAGUGGGGAAUAUUGGACAAUGGGCGCAAGCCUGAUGCAGCCAUGCCGCGUGUAUGAAGAAGGCUUUCGGGUUGUAAAGUACUGUCAGCGGGGAGGCGUUACUCACAGAAGAAGCACCGGCUAACUCCGUGCCAGCAGCCGCGGUAAUAC
rnacentral:rRNA from 1 species